rnacentral:snRNA from 1 species
AUGCUCACUUUGGCAGCAAAUAUGCUAAAAUUGGAAUGAUACAGAGAUUAACAAUGGCCCUUACACAAGAAUGACACCCAAAUUUGUGAAGUAGUCCAUAUUAAA